rnacentral:rRNA from 1 species
AUGGAGGACCUCGCCGGAGCCAUCAGGGACCUGGCCGCCCUCUCCACGCGGCUACUCCUUCAACUCAGCGGCGACGGCGAGAAACGCAACCUGGCCAUCUCCCCGCUGUCUAUCCACUCCGUGGUCGUUCUUCUCGCCGCCGGUGCCACGGGCGACACCCUCGACCAGAUCGUCUCCUUCCUGGGCCUCUCCGGCGGUGCAGCGCAUGCGGCCCUCGCCUCCGAGGUGGCCACCCUUGUAUUCGGCAGGGACGCCGGCGUGGAGCCCCAGAUCCAGUGCGCCGUAGGUGUUUGGGUGGAGUCCUCGCUCCGUCUGAGGUCCGCCUUCGCAGACAAGGUCACCUCCGAGUUCAAGGCCGGGGUGCGAGCCAUGCCAUUCCGAGAGAAUGUGGAAGAGGCGAGGGUUGAGAUCAACCGCUGGUUUGAGGACAAGACAGGCGGCUUCAUCAAGGACCUCAUGCCAGAAGGCCACCUCGACGCCAUCUCGACGGUCCUCGUCAUCGGCAACGCGCUCUAUAUGAGGGGCACAUGGCUAGAUCCGUUCAUUCCUUACAACACACUGGACGACGACUUCUUCUUGCCCGACGCCGACGGGAGCCGUGUGCGCGUGCCGUUCAUGACGAGCACAAACGAUCAGCGCAUCAGCUGCCAUCCCGGCUUCAAAGUCCUGCUGCUGCCCUACGAGAGCAAAGGCAACCACGAGUUCAGCAUGCACAUCUACCUCCCCGACGAGCGCAACGGCCUGCAGGCCCUGGUGCGCGAGAUCAGCUCCUCCGGCACCGCCGAGUUCCUGGACCGCUGCGUCCCAACACGACACGUCGCGGUGAGGAACCUGAGAAUCCCAAAGUUCCAGGUGUCAUCCAAGAUAGAUGCGCGAGAUGUGCUGAAAGGCCUUGGUCUGGAGCUACCGUUCCACUUUACAUACGACUGGUCGGAGAUGAUCGAAUUCUCAGAGCCAGCGCCGCCUGUAGCGGUGCAGAACGUACUCCACGAGUGCGUCGUGGAGGUGAACGAGGAUGGAACAAUGGCCGCUGCGGCCACUGAAGCUGAUUUAAUGAUGGGGUUCUCCAUCACGGGGGAGGAGGAACCGGCGGCUCAUGUUGACUUCGUGGCAGAUCACCCGUUCCUGUUCCUAAUCAGGGAGGACAAAAGUGGCAUUGUUCUUUUUGCCGGGCAAGUGGUCAAUCCCCUGCUUUAG